GUACAGUAUGAUAUCCGGAUCGAGCGGUUACGAUAUAUCUUAUUAAAGAUAUAAUUAAGGGAUAAUCAAGAAUAUUUAUUUAAAGAUAUUUAACAACUAACCAGAUUUUCAGGUAAGUCUGUUUAUAUUAUAUUNUGUUUAUAUUUUAUUCUGUUGGACUUAUAUCCGUUCAAGGUCCAUGAGACAAAUUAUAAAUAGAGAGUCAGGGCCACAAGCCAGGUACUUCCAAUCACCUUCUAAUCAACUUCCAACUCACACUCAACUACACUCUACUUACGUUUGAGCAGAACUCAAACAUACAAUUGUGAUACACAAUUCCCAAAACCGCUCCUAACUUGAGCGUCGGAGUGCCAUUGCAGGUACCUCCCCCUCCGGUCAAAGAUCGAAGUCCACCCAACGGUCAAGGCUGAAGGAGAGC
rnacentral:lncRNA from 1 species